CCAUAUAAUAGCCAGAAUGAGCCAAACAUGAGCCCGGUCCUCAUGUUUACUCUUCGUUUAGGUCAAGGAAGCUGAUCCGCUGAGUAAUGGCUCAGUCAUGAUUUUUAACACCUCUGCCUCACCACAUCUGUACCAAAUCAAGCAGCUGCAAGCCCUGGCUAAUUACAGCAUUGGUGUUUCCUGCAUGAAUGAAAUAGGCUGGUCUGCAGUGAGCCCUUGGAUUCUAGCCAGCACUACUGAAGGAGACCCAGAUCUUGUGAAGUGUUUUCACAUUUCCCCAUGGAUGCCUAGCGAGGGACUGGGACUGCCUGAUCCGCUUUGGUCAAGAGCACGUGGGUGGCCUGUGUGCAGCCUUAUCAUCAAUAAUUGCAGGACUUGGUGGAGUAUGGUUGAACAGGUGCUCAGACUGCGUGCGUGUCUAGCGAGGCCAUCCUGAAGCUGCAUGGGAGUUGUAAAAAAGUUACCAACAAGGUUUUAGUUAUUUGAAUAGGUUUUUGAAUAGAUUUGGAAUGUGGGAAGCAGUUGCAGAA
rnacentral:lncRNA from 1 species